rnacentral:tRNA from 1 species
CGAGAGAGGCUCGAAAGCAACGAUGACUGCUAAUUUUCGUCACCCUGGUUAAACUCCAGGGCUCACUCGA